AGAGCAUCAUUCAGGUUUGGACCGACUUAUUGUGGUUGAUAAGGCCAAGCAACAUUUAUCUCGUUACCUCUCUUUUUGCUAUAGGUGGUGAAUAGAUGGAAUGUCAUUCAGGCUUACAAACUUUCGUGGGUAGACCGCAAAGGUAAAUGCCAGGCAACAACUUCUCGCUACAUGUUCUUGGGGGCAAUGGCUCGAGGUAUGUUCAGCCUUUUAUUUGUCAGUAUAUAGAUUUUCCAUCUGUAAUCUGUUUUGAUUGCUGCAAAUGAGAUUCUUUCGCUAAUGCUCAACCAUUAAAGAUGUUGUCGCUCUCAAAUGAUUGGGCCCUCUCCGUUUCUCUCAUUUUUCUUGCAUUGUUCCACCACACAUAUUGAAAGAAGAACCUGAGACCGAUGUUCCACCACAGCUGCUUGGAUCACCUUCGGAAAGGUAAUUUCCCUUUGUCUUUGUAGCUCCAUAUGGGCAUAAGGUUCAACCCUUCCAGGAAUAUGAAGAGCUUGUCUUUGUCCCACAUGUCGUGUAUGCUUAGCAUGAGCAUGAGCAUGUAUAAUUCCCGCACAUAGUCCCGCACUGAUUUGGUCUGGCGGAGCUCCCAUAGAUUUCUCCUUGCAUUGUAUUCAACAUUUCCGGGGAAAAACUGUAGGUGUAUGGCUGCCUUCAGUUCUGCCCAUGUCUCGAGAGCAUCUUCACCGGCCCUGAUGGCUUCAUAUUUCACCCGCCACUAGAGUUUAGCAUCACCCUUAAGAUACAAGGAAGCAGUUGUUACCUUCUUAGCUUCUUCUAGGCCCCCAAUAGCAUCGAAAUACUAUUCAACGUUAAAGAUGAAGUUCUCCACUUCCUUGGCAUUCCUAGCUCCACUGUAUGGAUUUGGCUCAAGAAUUUUUAGUUUUUUGUCGCGGAAGCGAGGUUUGCAACGCCCCCGAUUUUGUGUCCACCGCCUCAAAGUAGGCUCUAUAAAGUAGCAUUGACAACGUUGAGCUUGCCUGUCAAGUCAUCAAUGGUUUGUUGCAUGGCAUUCACCCUGUCUGCCACUUGUGCCCUGUAAGCUAAAUCCUCGGCACGCUUCUGUUGGAGUCCCUCAAAUUUGCCAAAAAAUUUGGAUGCCUCUAUGGCUACCGUUUGCCGGUCUCCCUUGGAGUCAUGAGUGAUGUUUUCUAUGUCAACUUUGCCCUGGAUCACCCUAUGGUCCAGGUCGUCCAACCUUUGCCCUAGGCUGGUUCUUAGUUCAGGAACUAUAUCCACAAUGGGCCGUAAUCCAUCAAGCAUUUGUUCAAGGACCGCAAUACGGUCCCUAUGAUUCACCAUGGUCAGAAAUGGUGGUAAUAGCAAUGCGUUCCCUCGUCCGAUGUCGAGCCUAGGAUCUGAUACCAACUGUUACGCGGCACCGUCCUGAGAUUCCUUGGAAGCGCGACGUAUGCUAAGCAACUGAUGUCAGUGCAGUUACCGUCUGCCAACUGAGGUCCCCCUGUAUGCUAGACUAGAUUGUCAAUGCCGUACAGGAAAACCAAUGUCAAGAGCAAUUGAGAGAACAAAAAUGAGAAUUGAGAAUGAAAGAAAGCUUGAUUGCAUUAUUGAAAGCUAUUACGGAAAAGCAACACGGUGCCGAGGGGGAGCACACCAGUAUAGAGAAUUGUUUGCUUGCUAGAAAGUUUGAUUGCAUGAUCCCCCUAAUAGUGCUUAAAAAAUAAUCCAAAGCUACAAGACUAGCCUUGACUAUGCUAGAGAAACAUAAUGGAAGUACAUGAAAUAAAACUACUCUAUAUUUGCAAUGAAAAGGAUUUAGUUUUAUAUAAAGCAGAAACAGGUCUAUUGUCAGCAGCAAUGUGUUUGGCAUCAUGGUCGGCGCGUACUACGCUAUUGGCAUCUGCCUGCGGCUGGGCGCUGGUGAGGGUUAUCUGUGGGGCGACAGAGGCAUCUACGUGCUUGUCACCUAGCGUAGCCAAGAUCACAGGGCCGUCAGUGGCGCUAGGCAUUGGGAGGCUUACUAGGACGCCACGGGGGCGAGAGAGGCACCAAUGUUUUAUUUUAGUAGCAAACACCAUGAUUUUAGUUUUCUAGAUUUUCUUUCUUCCUCCCCAGAUUUCUGUUCUUCCUCUUCUUGUUUCUACGUGUAUCUAUGAGUGUGUAUAUUUUGAUGCAUGGGAAUAUUUUGGGGGNNNNNNNNNNNNNNNNNNNNNNNNNNNNNNNNNNNNNNNNNNNNNNNNNNNNNNNNNNNNNNNNNNNNNNNNNNGGGGGGGGUGGUGGGUGGGUGGGGAGGAAGUGUGCUGCAACUUGGUUGAAACAACGAUGGGUUUGGAAAAUGGGAGUUUUAUUUGUGGAAAAGUUAGGGACGAUAGAGAGGUCUUCUAGGCUAGGGAUCAGGUUUUUUCUAUAAUAUAAAGGGGGUUUUUCUUAUAGGAUUAGCUGGGAUGGGGUUAAUGGGUUAAGAGAUCCGAAAAUAGGCCUAAAAAAUAGAUUGUUUAAGCCCAAAUUCCAUUCUUUCUCACUGAACAAGACUAAAAAUACUCCCAUAUAUAUUAAUUAAUCCUACUUAAGUAUAAUAACUACUAAAAUAAAACUAAGCGUUAAAUUAAUUCUAUUUUGGUAUUUUUCAAAUAUCAUACUAAAAAAAUAAAAAAAGGAUUAGAUUAGAUCAUUGAAAAAUUAAAAUAAUAUUCCUACCAAAAAUACUAAUAUUCUUGAAAAUAAAGUGGAACUAUUUUUAUAGGUUCGAAUAUAUGUAAGGUUGAUAAACUAAGACUAAAUAGAUUAAAUAUCAAUUAACUAAAUAAAAGAAAAUAUUUUCGUGAUUUUUAUUUUUGAAAUAAAAUAAAGUAAAAGAGUCAAAACUAGUUAAAAUAUCGUUAUUAGACCUAACUCUAUAUUUAAAUGCUAAAAUGUGUAAAAUUUCAAGAGGGUAAAAAAUUAUAUGUCUAUAGAGGGCUUCCCUUCGAACUUGCCAACUUGCAUGCUCCACCAUACUUUUAGCCUGUGCCUGAAUCGCCUUGGCGUCAACCUUGAACUGGGUCACUCUAGCAUCAGCCUCGAUCUUGGCCACAAACACCUUUGAUUUGGUUGCCUCGAGUUCCUUGACCAGAUUCUCUUGACCAGAAAUAGCUAAGUUUAGUUGAGAUUGGAUCUCCUCGAUCUUAUUUUCCUGCACCAAGGUUUUCUCUUUUGUAGCCCGUAGCUGGGACUUGGCCAACAGCCAGUUGUGCUUGGACAACUUCCUUUUUCGAGGCUAAGAUAUCCACAUUUUUCUUGAACUCCUCAGCCUCAGCUUGUAUCGUGUUUACCUGCGCUUAGAGCUACCCGAUUUGUACAAGCCUCUAUCAGACAUGCAUGAUAGAUUCGUUAGCCACUGUGGCCAAUUUGUCGUCACAAUCUUGAAAUACUCGAUUUACUUGCUCUUCCAUCUCGGCAUGCUCCCUCCGAGCUGCAUCUAACUUGGCCUGAAGCUUCUUAUCGAGAAACUUGCAGGUGUCCCUUUUCUUAGUAAACUACCAAACCUCAGCCUUGUGUUAUGUUAACUCCAACCGGUAUCAGCGGAAAGAUGCAGUACCGAGGCCUGAAAGCAUAAAGGAAGGUGUUGUGUUUAUUUACAACUUCAAAUUUAAAAUACAAAAUAAAAAAGACACUCGGAGUUACCCGAUUCAGCACAUGUUGAGCUACAUUGAAUACGUAGGGCAUUUCCACCUUUUCCAUCAUGGCCUAGUCCUCUUCGGUCACAAAACACCGAAGAUAGCUGGCAACCCCUACGGAGGCAGAGAAAACCCGACCGUUUUCUAGGAUAGAGAAAACUGUUGAUCUCUUUUGGUCAGGGUCAACACUCGGGAUCGGGAACUGGUCCAAUAACUUUGGGCUCGAGGAAGACCCACUGGCUCCUAGUGAUGGUACCUUCUUUAGCACCGGUAAGUCUUCGAGCCCAGUGACAUCUUCUGAGGCACAAGACUCUAACCCAUCUAAGAAGUUAUGGAUAUAUGUAGCCCUAUGAGGCCCCUUGUAAGAACGACCUUCUAGCAUAGCGGUCUCAUGGAUCAAGGCAUCUGAGAAAUGUUGAGGCCUAAUAAUGUGAAUCACCUCAAGCACAUAUUUCAAGGCAUUUUCCCUUGCUCGAGAAGCAUCAUCCUCGAUUUCCUUUUCGACUCAUCUAGCUCGAGGCGAACUGGCAUCACCCCCCUCGGGUUCAGGAGCUUCGACUAAAGUGCUUCUACCGACCUCCUCAAGUCGAGGCGAUUCAAUUUCAACAACCUCCGAUUCGGAGGCCUCUCGUAUCAAGACACCUGCCCGCACGCAGGCCACCAACUUGGAUUUAUCUUCUGUUUCUUCGGACUCAUUCCUUAGCCGGUGGAUUGAGUUCGAGGAUAGAGCACUGGUGCUUCCCUUGGGUUUACUCACUCCUUUUCAGAUUUUUCUUUUUCGAGUUUGGAGAACUCGAGGCCCUUUUUCAUUUCUUCUCGUCACCCUGCCUCGAGCGAGGGACUCGAGAGACAUAUCCCCAUCACUGGAUGGAGGCCUCAAAGCAACAUCUUUGGUGAGACCUAUAAAAGGAAACAGAAUCGAUAAGAAUUUGAUAGCGUAAGAAGAAUAUCAAACAUUAUUUCAGUAAAGAAAACUUACCUUGAUUACGGGCUUCCCACCGGAACUUCGACAAUUUGCGCCAUGUGCGUGGAAUAUGGUAUUUGUGACACAAGAUUCUCGACCCACUCCUUGAGUCGAGGAACUGCAUCCGGCAUUUAAGCCACAACAACACCUUAAAAUACCGAUAUGAUGGAGGGAAUAGGAUAAAUAAUAUAUAUAAUCUUUAAGGCAACGUUAUACUUACACUUCAUGUUUCAUUUCUCAUGAAAUGGUAUGUCAUCGGUAGGGAUCAAGUCCGAGGUCUUCACUCCCUUUUACUUUACUUCUCGUCACCCUGCCUCAGAGUAGGGGACUCGAGAGGCACAUCUCCAUCACCGGAUGGAGGCCUCAUAGCAACAUCUUUGGUGAGACCUAUAAAAGGAAACAUAAUUGAUAAGAAUUUGACAACGCAAGGAGAAAAUCAAACAUUAUUUCAGUAAAGGGACCCAACGUGAAGGGGAAAGUGUAAACACUUAAAAAACCCUUCACGUGGAUAGUAAAUGAUUCCUCAGGCAAGGGCACCACCACGUGUUUAUCGGCACAACUACAAUCCUCUUUGACCUUGGAGAGGAGAUCAUUGAUGAUCGUACAUAUAUAUAUCUCGAGACCGCCUCGCAUAGACUUGGUAUCACGAAAGUUUUUUCGAUCUUCAAAUAAGUAUGGAUCGGGCACCCUCUUAGAACGAACUCUUCAGGGUGUGGCUCCACUGCAAUCCCAUUGCCGAUAGGUCGUGAUGAAGAGGCUGUUUCUUUAUAUGGAAUAGUCUUAGAAGUUUUCGUCAUUUUAAAGCAGAGAUGAAGAAAAGGAAAUUAAGAAGGUACGCUUAGUAGUUGAAAAAAGGUCCAAGAAAUCUAGGUACAGAAGUUGGUGAAUGAAGAGAUUCUUAAAGGACAAGAGUAGAAGAAGCUUUUGAACAUAAAGUUUGAAUGAAUGAAACUUGGGACAUUUAUAGUUUGCUAAUGACGGUUCAAAACCAGUAGUGACUGACCAACACUGACACACAUUUAAUGCCUUGGAGACUGAACCGACGGGACAUUCCAGUUACCUUUUGUUGCUUACAUCAUGAUCUGUCAAAGCGAGGUUCGAAAGUUCUUAUCAUUUCUCGGCAUCUCCUCUCCAAAAAUCAAGAGGAUUAUCUGUCACACCCUUUUUUUAGCAACCUCACUAAACAUCUUAAAAUAAAUAAAGAUUUUUAAAGCUCAAAAAGGGUUUUUAAUUAAAAGUGACAAAAUUGUGCUCAAAAGGGUUUUUAGAGUCGCCACCUGACAUUGGUUUCAAUGUGCCAGGUCAUCAUUUUUCAAAAAAUGAUUUUCCUUUUAAAACACUUUGAACUCCAAAACUAAGUCUACACCAGAGAUUUCGGUAAGGGGAUUUAUUCGACUCGGGGAGAAGGUGUUAGGCACUCCUCAAGUCACGUAAAAGUCACAGUUGCGUACUCGAUCUUGUUGGGCUUUAAAAUAUUCAAAUUGAGGUAAAAGUAAACACAAAAAAGAAAAAUAAGCAAGAGGCUCGAGGUCGUCCUCAACUAAUAAAAGAAAAAAAGAAAAAAAUAAGAAUACCGUUCUAUACUUCCUCAAAGUGUUCCAUUGUUGGCCUUCAAAUACAAAUUACUUCGGGGCAUGCCCCGAAUAAAAAUGUAUACAAACUUCGCAGGGCAUUCCCCGAAUAAUAAACUAAAAGAAAUGACCUCUUGCCUCAAUUAAACUAGAACCAAACGCCCUAAAUGUUUUCCUAUCUAAGUGAAUCGGCCUAAGCAUGUUCCUAGUGGUAUGUAAGAAAAGUAAAGCAACUGAAUUAUUUUUAAAACCAGUUUUUGUUAGUUAUCUUAUAAUAUCCAAUUUUGACCCCAAAUUCACUAUUCUCAAAAUCUCAAUUCUCGUUUUCCAAUUUAAACUAUAUUAAACAUGGUCCAUUAAUUCAAUGGCUCACAUUUUAAUUAGUAGGCUUUCAACAAAAUUUCAAUCACGAAAUCAUGGAUCCAAACACUGGAAAACAUGGAUUAAGCUCGGAAUUAUCCAUAAAUCGAAUACAAACUAUAACAAACAAGCAAGAACAAUCACUUUCUGGAUAAGCUUUCCAAUUUAAACUAUAGUAAACAUGGUCCAUUAAUUCAAAAGCUCACGUUUUAAUUAGCAGACUUUCAACAAAAUUUCAAACACGAAAUGAUCUAUCCGAAUACUGGAAAACAUGGAUUAAGCUCGAAAAUAUCCAUAAAUCAAAUACAAACUAUAACAAACAAGCAAGAACAAUCACUUUCUGGAUAAGCAAAUUUCACAGAAUCAAUCAGUUGUCCAUACAAUUUAACCACAGAAAUCUAAUCGCCUUUGAAUGAUUCUUUAAAACUCAAUCCAUAGUAAGGAAAGAAAUAGGAGAAAAGAGAUGAAUAGAAUCUGUUGAUUUAAGAUUUCCUUCAACGUUUGAGAGUCAAUAGAUACAAAUGCCAAGUCCAAAUUUCAGACAGAAUCGAGCAAGAAUGGCGAACCUAGACGGGGAUCGCGAGUUCAGCAAAUAGCGAACGGACCUCGACUAGCGAACUCAGCUUUGAACUCUAACACUUCACAUAAUAUCCAUUACUUUGAAACUAAAAUCGAUUGAGGAAAGAAACUGAAAAUACCUUUGUAAUUUUUUUUGCUUCAGAACUACUUUUGCAACCUCUUGUUGCUGCUCAUUCACACUAAUGCUGCUUCUUUAGGGUGGGAUGGUUGUUUUUUGGUAAAGAAGGCCGCCUGCGUGAAGCGAUAGGUGUGGUGGGCGGCAGUUAUGGAGAUUGGGAGGUUAUUUAGUGUGAGGGUUAGAAGCUUGACGGUCGCGGCGACGAUUUUUGUGGGCGGCUGAAGAUUGAAGAUGAAGAAGCAGGGGUCGUUCGUUUGGUGGGGUGUUUUCCGCUCGGCGUUGCUGUUCUAGUAGCUGGUAGAGGGCCGUCAGGGUCUCUAGGUUAGAGGUGGGGCAGUUGAAGUUUUUUGGAGUAAGGGAGGUGGGUCGCUGUUGCUUGGCGGUGGUACAUCAGAGGAAAUGGAGGAGUGUGGUGGUGUGUUGUUGGUGGUUGCUGGAUUUCCUGGCUAAACUCGCCGUAGGAGGGUGUCAGCAGAUUUUUGGAGAAGAAGAUGGGUCAGGUCAAUUAGGGUUCAGCUAGGGUUUGUAGUGAAAUGCAGAUUAAAAGGGAAGAUGGGUCUUGGAUCUUGGGCUUCAUAUUUGGGUCUUAAAUUGGACUAAAGGAAAAAUGUCCAAACCUUAUUUAAGUUCCUUUUAAUAUAAGAUAAAUAUACAAAAAUUAAUCUAAUUAAUUAAACUAAAUUAUAUAAAAAAAAUGAAAUUAUUUUUGUUAUUUUCAGAGGUUAUAUUAAAAUAAAAUAGGUUAAAAGUAAUAUAUCCUUCAAAAAAAUCUAAUAUGUGAAUUAAAUAGAGAAAUAUGAAGCUAUUUUUGUAAUUUUCAAUUUUUAUUCUUAAAAUAAAGUUAAAGAGUGAGAACUAGUUAAAAUAACGAUACUAGACAUAGACUAAAUAUUUAAAAAAAUUACAGGUCUACAGCUGCCCUUCUUUGACUGGAAACACGAAGAGUCUUUCGUCAAAAAAUGACAAGACAAGUUUUUUGACCCUACCCUUAUUUAGAAAGACAAAAUAAAGCGGAAUGUGACCGAGCCCUAGUAUCUGAGCUGCCUACAUAUCCUUGUCUAUGAAGGAGUCGAGCCACGUGUAGUUUGGAACUGAAUGAGAUGAUGGAGUAUAUUGAGGUGGAGAGUCGGUCGAGGUGUCGUUCUGGUGAGGUUCCGGUGCGCGGUCCUGUUAUUACAUCAAAAUCAAAAAAUGAAAAAGAUUAACUAAGUCUGUCAACUAUGAGUUACAAGAUUUAUAUCUAUGAGUCUUUUGAAGCUGGAUCUUGAGUCUUGAAUGGUUCUUUAUGCAGACUUUAGAAUUAAACCUUAAUGCUUGCUAGUUGCAGGUGCUAGUUCAUUCUUCUUCAGCUUUUCGGAUCAAAAUCGGACACACCAUGCUUGUGACUUUAGUCAUGUCUUGAGAAGUCCACCUCUUGUCUCAGCUUUGCAUUUGCCAAUCCCUAUCUCGAAGAUACAAGCGAAGCGACCAACCCUCUUCUCUUGUCUUGCCUCGAAGUGUAGUGUGGUGAGGUUUUGCCUCACAGAAGGAGUGGAAAAUUGUGGAAAAAGCCGAAAGCGUGUACCUCUCUUGAUUGAACGUAUGACCUAGCAGGAGAGGCGCGAGCCCUUACUAUACUUUAUCCCGUAGGGCAUGGUAUGGAAUAGACCUCACCGUGGUUGGUCAGCAUCUGUGGAUCGUCUUCUCUCAGUUCGAUGGCUUCAUUACAAAAAGUAGCUAAGUAGCUCCGACAGUUUUCUUUCCCUUCAAUCCCUCCUUACUAAGCACAAUCAACAGUUCAAUUCACGAUUUCUAACCUUAUACAGAAGGUUUUUCCGUACCAGCUCCUUCUAUCUAUACUGCAGUUGGAGCACCUAAAGGAGAAUUUGGUGUCUUUCUGGUCAGUAAUGGAAGCAAUCGUCCCUACUGUCGUAAAAGAAGAGAACUUGGCUUUGCCCAUUCACAAGGACUCGAUUCUAUGUCCAAACAUCACAUGCCAGUAGAUGUGGUCACCUUAUAGGCACUCAAGAUCUUGUGUCUAGAGAGGUGGAUAGAUAGGAAUACUAUCACUCCUUCUACUCUAAACUACUGUGUGCUUAUUUUUCGCUUUUCACAGUCAAAGUCAAAGGUUCGUUAUUGGCAAGAUCGGUAUUCCUUCUAGUUGUAAUUGACUUUAAGCGCACCUGAACUACCCAUAGUCAUCUAUUUAUGAGCUUGCACUCAAUAGUCAAUCAAUUUGCUUUUCCGCUUUCUAUCGCACACUUCAACUAUUUGUUUAUAUUGUGUGUGAUUCACUUCCCUUUUUUUUUUCUUUUUUAUUAUGUAUUGAGAUUACUUCUGUUGAUCAUCUCGGACUGUUAACUUGCAUUCUUACCACGAGCUUCUGCUACUUCUAACUUGAAUUGGAUUCUGAAAUGACUUUAUUUGUUCUCCAGGUAGGCGGCUGAUUGCUAAAACUUGAACUUUAUUCCCUCGUUCUCCAUGUGGGUGCCUGAUUGCUAAAAGUUGAACUGUAUUCCCUUGUUUUUCAGGUGGACGCCUGAUUACCAAAACAUAAAUUAUAUUCCCUUGAUAUCUAGGUGGGUGCCUGAUGCAGAAACUUGAAAUGUAUUCUCUUGUAAUUCAGGUAGGCGCCUGAUUGCCAAAAAUUGAACUGGGUUCCCUUGUUCUCCAGG
rnacentral:lncRNA from 1 species